rnacentral:misc_RNA from 1 species
GGAAGUAAAAGUUGUAACAGGGUUUCCGUAGGUGAACCUGCGGAAGGAUCAUUAAAGAGUAAGGGUCUUCGGGCCCGAUCUCCAACCCUUUGUUUAACCACCAUGUUGCUUUGGCGGGCCCGUCUCACGACCGCCGGAAGUUUGGCUUCGACCAAACUUCUGGCCCGUGCCCGUCAGUGGCCCCUUCAAAUUCUUGAUCAAGUAUGAUGUCUUAGUUAAAAACUUAAUAGUUAAAACUUUCAACAACGGAUCUCUUGGUUCUG